CCUACGGGUGGCAGCAGUGAGGAAUAUUGGUCAAUGGGCGCGAGCCUGAACCCGCCAAGUAGCGUGAGGGAUGACUGCCCUACGGUCUGUAAACUUCUUUUAUAAAGGAAUAAAGUGAGGCACGUGUGCCUUUUUGUAUGUACUUUAUCUAUACGGAUCGGCGAACGCCGUGCCAGCAGCCGCGGUAAUACGGAGGAUCUGAGCGUUAUCCGGAUUUAUUUGGUUUAAAGGGAGCGUAGCGGGAUUGUUAAGUCCGUUGUGAAAGUUUGCGGCUCAACCGUAAAACUGCAGUUGAAACUGGCAGUCUUGAGUGCAGUAGAGGUGAGCGGAAUUCGUGGUGUAGCGGUGAAAUGCUUAGAUAUCAGGAAGAACUCCGAUGGCGAAGGCAGUUCACUGGACUGCAACUGACACUGAGGCUCGAAAGUGUGGGGAUCAAACAGGAUUAGAUACCCCUGUAGUC
rnacentral:rRNA from 1 species